UGAGGAUAUGGUGAAUUAGGUUUU
rnacentral:piRNA from 1 species